rnacentral:rRNA from 1 species
UACGUAGGGUGCGAGCGUUGUCCGGAAUUAUUGGGCGUAAAGAGCUCGUAGGCGGCUUGUCGCGUCGACUGUGAAAAACCCGCAGCUCAACUGUGGGCUUGCAGCCGAUACGGGCAGGCUAGAGUUCGGUAGGGGAGACUGGAAUUCCUGGUGUAGCGGUGAAAUGCGCAGAUAUCAGGAGGAACACCGGUGGCGAAGGCGGGUCUCUGGGCCGAUACUGACGCUGAGGAGCGAAAGCGUGGGGAGCGAACAGG